GAGUUUGGACAUGGCUCAGGAUGAACGCUGGCGGCGUGCCUAAUACAUGCAAGUCGAACGCACAGCGAAAGGUGCUUGCACCUUUCAAGUGAGUGGCGAACGGGUGAGUAACACGUGGACAACCUGCCUCAAGGCUGGGGAUAACAUUUGGAAACAGAUGCUAAUACCGAAUAAAACUUAGUGUCGCAUGACACAAAGUUAAAAGGCGCUUCGGCGUCACCUAGAGAUGGAUCCGCGGUGCAUUAGUUAGUUGGUGGGGUAAAGGCCUACCAAGACAAUGAUGCAUAGCCGAGUUGAGAGACUGAUCGGCCACAUUGGGACUGAGACACGGCCCAAACUCCUACGGGAGGCUGCAGUAGGGAAUCUUCCACAAUGGGCGAAAGCCUGAUGGAGCAACGCCGCGUGUGUGAUGAAGGCUUUCGGGUCGUAAAGCACUGUUGUAUGGGAAGAACAGCUAGAAUAGGAAAUGAUUUUAGUUUGACGGUACCAUACCAGAAAGGGACGGCUAAAUACGUGCCAGCAGCCGCGGUAAUACGUAUGUCCCGAGCGUUAUCCGGAUUUAUUGGGCGUAAAGCGAGCGCAGACGGUUUAUUAAGUCUGAUGUGAAAGCCCGGAGCUCAACUCCGGAAUGGCAUUGGAAACUGGUUAACUUGAGUGCAGUAGAGGUAAGUGGAACUCCAUGUGUAGCGGUGGAAUGCGUAGAUAUAUGGAAGAACACCAGUGGCGAAGGCGGCUUACUGGACUGCAACUGACGUUGAGGCUCGAAAGUGUGGGUAGCAAACAGGAUUAGAUACCCUGGUAGUCCACACCGUAAACGAUGAACACUAGGUGUUAGGAGGUUUCCGCCUCUUAGUGCCGAAGCUAACGCAUUAAGUGUUCCGCCUGGGGAGUACGACCGCAAGGUUGAAACUCAAAGGAAUUGACGGGGACCCGCACAAGCGGUGGAGCAUGUGGUUUAAUUCGAAGCAACGCGAAGAACCUUACCAGGUCUUGACAUCCUUUGAAGCUUUUAGAGAUAGAAGUGUUCUCUUCGGAGACAAAGUGACAGGUGGUGCAUGGUCGUCGUCAGCUCGUGUCGUGAGAUGUUGGGUUAAGUCCCGCAACGAGCGCAACCCUUAUUGUUAGUUGCCAGCAUUCAGAUGGGCACUCUAGCGAGACUGCCGGUGACAAACCGGAGGAAGGCGGGGACGACGUCAGAUCAUCAUGCCCCUUAUGACCUGGGCUACACACGUGCUACAAUGGCGUAUACAACGAGUUGCCAACCCGCGAGGGUGAGCUAAUCUCUUAAAGUACGUCUCAGUUCGGAUUGUAGUCUGCAACUCGACUACAUGAAGUCGGAAUCGCUAGUAAUCGCGGAUCAGCACGCCGCGGUGAAUACGUUCCCGGGUCUUGUACACACCGCCCGUCACACCAUGGGAGUUUGUAAUGCCCAAAGCCGGUGGCCUAACCUUUUAGGAAGGAGCCGUCUAAGGCAGGACAGAUGACUGGGGUGAAGUCGUAACAAGGUUACCCGU
rnacentral:rRNA from 1 species